GUAGCCCUGAGCAGGAAUUCACUCUGUGGCCAGAGUGUGUCCAGUGAGCUGGUGAAAUUGGUAAACUGAGAGAAUUUGAUUUGCAACUGGGCUGAGGUGCUUCUUGGGAGACAAGGCAAUUCAAGUGAAGAAAGAGCCAAGCACUCUGAGUUUGAUGCUGUAACAAAGCUGAACAAAGCCUGGGGUGCGGGAUAGCUCUCUGUAUAUAGACUGAUAGUUAUAGUGAAGUGUUUCUCCAGUUCAUGCCUCGAGAACAAAGACUGUCAAUAAAAAGUGUAAGAACUCUUCUGUUAAACCUUGUAACUUGUUAGGAGCACAAGUGGCAUUGCCACAUGUGACAUAUAAAGCUGGGGCCCAUUCUGUAUGAGGACCCACAGUCCACCACUUGGCCACCAGCCAUGCACAAACCAUGAGAGUAGAAGAGAUGUCUUAUGGCAAUUCAGGCUUAAAGUGGUUAGGGAAGAGGUUAGCAGCAGUAUAGAAAUCCUUCAUCAGCAGAUGGAGUCAUGAAUUUUAGUCUGUUUUGUCCACUGCUGAAUAUUUUGUGUUUAUAAUUGUGCCAUUCACUUACUAGGUACUCACUGAUUAUUUGUUAAAUAAAUAAUGAAAAAACAAACUAAUGAAAGAAGCAAUGACUUUAUAGCCGCAGGUUGGUUAGUGUUAGAGAAAUUUAGGUUACAACAGACCUUGUAUGAUAAUACUAAGUCACUGC
rnacentral:lncRNA from 10 species